CUUCAUUGCUUUCCAGUUCCAUGACUAACAAUUCCAACAUCUUCUUAUUCAUUGGCAUUUAAUGAUCAUUAAUCGUCGUCAGUGAAAGGCGGAUCUUGCUGUACAGUUCUCUAGGAGUCUCGUGUAUAACCACGUGUUCAGUGACCCAUCAUCAUCUAAAUUAGCAGUAUUGGAAGAAGGCACGGAAACAGUAUGCAAGAUUCUAACUGGUUGCUAUCUGAAACAUCAGCCGAAAUGAUGGGACUUUUGGUUUCAAAUGCAUUGGUUAUAAUAUUUUCUUCUACAGUAUUUUCUUUUGCUACUGCAGCUUCUUCUGCCCGCGCGUCAAUAUCCACUUCACUCUCAUGCCUCUGAAGCUCCUUCUCCAGU
rnacentral:misc_RNA from 1 species